GAUGAACGCUGGCGGCGUGCCUAAUACAUGCAAGUCGAGCGAACAGACGAGGAUCUUGCUCCUCUGACGUUAGCAGCGGACGGGUGAGGAACACGUGUAUAACCUACCUAUAAGACUGGGAUAACUUCGCGAAACCGGAUCUAAUACCGGAUAAUAUAUUGCACCGCGUUGGUCAAUAGUUAAAUACGGUUUUUCUGUCAGUAAUAGCUGGAUCCGCGCCGCAUUAGCUAGUUGGUAAGGUAACGGCUUACCAAGGCAACGAUGCGUAGCCGACCUGAGAGGGGGAUCGGCCACCCUGGAACUGAGACACGGUCCAGACUCCUGCGGGAGGCAGCAGUAGGGAAUCUUACGCAAUGGGGGAAAGCCUGACGGAGCAAAGGCGAGUGAGUGAUGAAGGUCUUCGGAUCGUAAAACUCUGUUAUUAGGGAAGAACAAAUGUGUAAGUAACUAUGCACGUAUUGACGGUACCUAAUCAGAAAGCCACGGCUAACUACGUG
rnacentral:rRNA from 1 species